AGUAAAUUUUGUGGUCAAGCUACUAAGGGCGCAUGGUGGAUGCCUUGGCAGAAGACGGCGAUGAAAGACGUGGCAAGCUGCGAUAAGCUUCGGGGAGCCGCAAGCAGGCUUUGAUCCGGAGAUCUCUGAAUGGGGAAACCCACGGGGGUAAAACCCCCGUACGGCCUGACGAAUCCAUAGUCGGGUGCGAGCGAACCCAGGGAAGUGAACCAUCUCAGUACCUGGAGGAAAAGAAAGAAACCUCGAUUGCGAUAGUAGUGGCGAGCGAAAUCGCAUCAGCCUAAACCUGCUUCACCUUCGGGUGACACAGGGGUUGUAGGGCCAGCAACAGUAGAGUUACCAAUCCGGUGGUUAGUCGAAGCCCUCUGGAAAGAGGGGCCAUAGAGUGUGAUAGCCACGUAGGCGAAAACCAUCCGGACUCGAAGCUGGUACCUGAGUAUCGCGGGGCACGAGAAACCCUGCGAGAAGCUACGGGGACCAUCCCGUAAGGCUAAAUACGUUCUUCUGACCGAUAGUGAACCAGUACCGUGAGGGAAAGGUGAAAAGAACCCCUUCGAGGGGAGUGAAAUAGUACCUGAAACCGUGUGCCUACAAACGGUGGGAGGACUAUGCGGCGCAAGCCGAAAGUCUGACCGCGUGCCUAUUGCAUAAUGAGCCGGCUAGUUAUUCUUGUCAGCAAGGUUAAGCGAAAGCGAGCCGUAGCGAAAGCGAGUCCGAAUAGGGCGACAGAGUUGGCAGGAAUAGACGCGAAGCGGGAUGAUCUACCCUUGGCCAGGCUGAAGUUAGGGUAAAACCUAAUGGAGGGCCGAACGGCUGUUUGUUGAAAAAAGCUCCGAUGAGCUGAGGGUAGGGGUGAAAGGCUAAUCAAAUUCCGUGAUUGCUCGUUCUCUCCGAAAUAGCUUUAGGGCUAGCGUCGUAUGAUUUGUCUUGGUGGUAGAGAUCUGAAUGGACUAUGGGGCU
rnacentral:rRNA from 1 species